GACGAACGCUGGCGGCGUGCUUAACACAUGCAAGUCGAACGGAAAGGCCCUGCUUUUGUGGGGUGCUCGAGUGGCGAACGGGUGAGUAACACGUGAGUAACCUGCCCUUGACUUUGGGAUAACUUCAGGAAACUGGGGCUAAUACCGGAUAGGAGCUCCUGCUGCAUGGUGGGGGUUGGAAAGUUUCGGCGGUUGGGGAUGGACUCGCGGCUUAUCAGCUUGUUGGUGGGGUUGUGGCUUACCAAGGCUUUGACGGGUAGCCGGCCUGAGAGGGUGACCGGCCACAUUGGGACUGAGAUACGGCCCAGACGCCUACGGGAGGCAGCAGUGGGGAAUAUUGCACAAUGGGCGGAAGCCUGAUGCAGCAACGCCGCGUGCGGGAUGACGGCCUUCGGGUUGUAAACCGCUUUCGCCUGUGACGAAGCGUGAGUGACGGUAAUGGGUAAAGAAGCACCGGCUAACUACGUG
rnacentral:rRNA from 1 species